rnacentral:rRNA from 1 species
AGUGAACGCUGGCGGUAGGCCUAACACAUGCAAGUCGAACGGCAGCACAGUAAGAGCUUGCUCUUACGGGUGGCGAGUGGCGGACGGGUGAGGAAUACAUCGGAAUCUACUUUUUCGUGGGGGAUAACGUAGGGAAACUUACGCUAAUACCGCAUACGACCUACGGGUGAAAGCAGGGGAUCUUCGGACCUUGCGCGAUUGAAUGAGCCGAUGUCGGAUUAGCUAGUUGGCGGGGUAAAGGCUCACCAAGGCGACGAUCCGUAGCUGGUCUGAGAGGAUGAUCAGCCACAUUGGAACUGAGACACGGUCCAGACUCCUACGGGAGGCAGCAGUGGGGAAUAUUGGACAAUGGGCGCAAGCCUGAUCCAGCCAUACCGCGUGGGUGAAGAAGGCCUUCGGGUUGUAAAGCCCUUUUGUUGGGAAAGAAAAGCAGCAGGUUAAUACCCCGCUGUUCUGACGGUACCCAAAGAAUAAGCACCGGCUAACUUCGUG